rnacentral:ncRNA from 1 species
UUUAAAAUAAAGUUUGAUUCUUGCUUGAAUCUUCAAAAUAUAAUAAAUUUUACAUGUAAAAUUUUAGGGAAUUGUGGUUAUAAAUUUUAUAUUUAUAAUUUUACAAAAACGCAGUAUUUAAUAUUGAAAAUCAAAGUAUUUUGGAUUUGGUUUAUUAAUAAUUAAUUGGUAAAAUUCGUGCCAGCAUCCGCGGUUAUACGUAAAAUUAUGUUGAAGAUAUUUGGUUAAAAGAUGAGUUUAUUUGAAUUAAUUGGUCAUAAGUUAAUGAAAUAAUAAGAUGGUAAAAUUUAUAUUGUUUAUAAGUUAUGAAAUUUAAUUAGUGUAGGUUCAUAAAAGUUGGUUAUAUUAGUAGACUAGGAUUAGAUACCCUAUUAUUCCAAUGAUCAAUUUUAACCUGGGUAGUAGUUAAAGUUUUGAAACCUAAAGAAUUUGGCGGUGAUUUAUUCUAAUCAGAGGAACCUGUCCCUUAAAUCGACAUUCCACGUUUAACCUUACUUAGUUUAGUAGGUCAUUUUAUAUACCGUCGUCGUCAGAAUAUCUUAAGAGAGUAUAAAUUUUCUAAUUGUAUAAUUAUUUUAUGUCAGAUCAAGGUGUAAAUUAUAGCUAAGUGGAGAUGGGUUACAAUAAAAUUAUAUUUGGACAAAUUUUUGAAAUCAAAAUUUUGAAAUUGGAUUUGGUUGUAAUAUAAAUUAGAGAAUUUAUUUGAAAUUAGCUCUAAAUCAUGCACACAUCGCCCGUCACUCUCGUUAUUAAAACGAGAAAAGUCGUAACAUAGUAGAUGUACCGGAAGGUGUAUCUAGGUAGAA